UAGGGAAUCUUCGGCAAUUGACGAAAGUCUGACCGAGCAACGCCGCGUGAGUGAAGAAGGUUUUCGGAUCGUAAAACUCUGUUGUUAGAGAAGAACAAGGACGUUAGUAACUGAACGUCCCCUGACGGUAUCUAACUAGAAAGCCACGGCUAACUACGUGCCAGCAGCCGCGGUAAUACGUAGGUGGCAAGCUUUGUUCGUAUUUAUUGGGCGUAAAGCGAGCGCAGGCGGUUUCUUAAGUCUGAUGUGAAAGCCCCCGGCUCAACCGGGGAGGGUCAUUGGAAACUGGGAGACUUGAGUGCAGAAGAGGGGGGUGGAAUUCCAUGUGUAGCAGUGACAUGCGUAGAUAUAUGGAAAAACACCAGUGGCGAAGGCGGCUCUCUGGUCUGUAACUGACGCUGAGGCUAGAAAGCGUGGGGAGCGAACAGG
rnacentral:rRNA from 1 species